AGGAACCAUUUAUGGACUUCUUGCUGGCAUCCAGACUGAAAUGUUUAUGGAUUUGCAUAUGACUAAGGGAAGAAGAGAUACUAAUUAGCCUUGACUCCUAAUAACUACAUGGACAAGUUUCUUGACAAUGUUUUCAGAAGUGUUUGCCCUUGCCUUCUUCCUAGUGACUGACCAAGCUGGCUUCUGUACUUAAGGGUGCAAUGUGGGAGCCUCAGAAUCAUUCCUCAUUGUGACCAGCUGAUGGUGAUCAAGAGCUUUUUGCUAAAUGUGCAAUAAUAAAAUGACAAAUACAUGAUCCCCC